rnacentral:rRNA from 1 species
AACGAACGCUGGCGGCAUGCUUAACGCAUGCAAGUCGAACGAGACAUCCUGUUUUAGUGGUUCACGGGUGCGUAAUGCGUUGUAAUCUGCCCUUAGGUUCUGAAUAAUUCCCCGAAAGGGUUAUUCAUACCGGUUAAUGUCUUCGGUCCAAAGUUUUAUCGCCUUUGGAUGGGCCCGCGUUGGAUUAGCUAGUUGGUAGGGUAAAAGCCUACCAAGGCGACGAUCCAUAGCUGGUCUGAGAGGAUGAUCAGCCACACUGGGACUGAGACACGGCCCAGACUCCUACGGGAGGCAGCAGUGGGGAAUAUUGGACAAUGGGCGAAAGCCUGAUCCAGCAAUGCCGCGUGAGUGAAGAAGGACUUAGGGAUGUAAAGUUCUAUUAGCAGGGAUGAUAGUGACGGUACCGGGAGAAGAAGCCCCGGCUAACUCCGUG